GAUGAACGUUGGCGGCGUGCCUAACACAUGCAAGUCGAACGGACCCAAUUCUUCGGAUGAGGGUUAGUGGCAAACGGGUGAGUAACACGUGGGUGACCUACCCCGAAGUGGGGGAUAGCAACUGGAAACGGUUGCUAAUACCGCAUGUGCUCGACGAUUCGUUUCGUCGAGUAAAGUUCCGGCGCUUCGGGAGGGGCCUGCGGUCGAUUAGCUAGUUGGUAGGGUAAUGGCCUACCAAGGCAGUGAUCGAUAGGGGGCGUGAGAGCGCGACCCCCCACACUGGGACUGCGACACGGCCCAGACUCCUACGGGAGGCAGCAGUGAGGAAUAUUGCACAAUGGGCGAAAGCCUGAUGCAGCAACGCCGCGUGAGGGACGAAGGCCUUCGGGUUGUAAACCUCUUUUCUGAGGGAAGAGAUAGGACGGUACCUCAGGAAUAAGUCUCGGCUAACUACGUGCCAGCAGCCGCGGUAACAC
rnacentral:rRNA from 1 species